GAAUUCAAAAAUAUCCUCAUAGGUUGUGAAAUCCAAAAUGAAAAAUUGGAACAAAGGCAAUCGCAGACAGCUACAUUUGGGAGGAUGAAAUCAAAAGCAUAACCACAAAAUGCCACUGCAGAUAAAGAUCUAAUGAUUAAUGAUGGUCACGAAUGAACAAACAGCAUGAUGCUGCUGAGGAAAAACAAUAAAUAUAAUGCUAGAUUUUCUUGAAUUGUCUGCUCAAGACAGUGUAUGCAAAAUGGGAUAAUUAGCAUGCUCUUCUCAGCACUGGUGAGGCCUCAGCUAAAAUACUGUUUUACUCUGAGGCACCAUAAUUUCAGAAAGACAUAGAUCAGCUGGAAGCAAUCCAGAGAUCAACAAAGAUGAAGAUUGGAAAAUUGGAUCCAUAAAGCAAGGUUGAAGUUCUAGUUUUGUUUUAAUCUUUAAAAAAAGAAAACAAAAACCAACCAACAAAAAAAAACAACAAAAAAAAAACCCCCUCCGACAAAUUAUAUGAACUUAUAAAAGUUCAACAGUCUUUAAGUACAUAAAAGGCUAUUACAAACAGGGUAGUUUUGUUUCUUCAUGCCCACUAAUGACACACAGAAUGUCAAGGAAACCUUUUUCAGCUAUACUACAAUAAGUAUGACAGUAACAUACUCUAACUAGAAGAAAAUAUUACUGCUGGAAUAUAUUACCCAAAAAGGUUGUAUAAUACUUGCCAUUAUUGAUUUUAGAUACAAAUCAGAGGGACUGCCAUCUGCACUUAUCAAGACAGUUGUGGACUUUCUUUGAAGCUAGGAGAUGGCCCAGGUGCAUGCUUUGUAGCAGGUGGCUGAGAUCACUGGGACUGUGACAGAGCAUACAAAUUAUUACAAGCUUUGGUAGCUAGCUUCUUCAGCUAAUGGAUGGCACAGAGAAUUGCCUGAAUCUGUUAUGUGUCUGUGAACAUCAAGUUCCUAGAUUGCAAGACCAGCCCAAUUCUUUGCUCUGCUGGAAGUCAUCUUAAGAGGUUGCGUGACACGGGCCUCAGGAAUGCCCCGUGGCACUCAGCUCUUACUCCAUCGUCACAGCCUUGCAGAGAGGGGUGGAUGGCUGCAUCUGGGAGUCCAUCUAAAAAAAAAAAUGAAAAAUGGAAACGAGCUGGAAAGAGAUAAAUUUUAUCCUGGUUCUUCAUCCUCCUCAGCAGAUGAACAACUGCAGCAUCAGCACAGAUUUCUGCUACUUGAGUUAAUGGAGUGCCACUACUAGUCACGGGUUGUCAUCCUCUGAGUAAAGCACUCCCAGAAGAGGAUAUCUGAUGAGCACUGCUAAGCCAUGCUCCCCAUGCAACCCAAGAGGAAGGACUUUUAACCCAUUACAGCAUCGGGCCAGGCUGAGCAGACCACAGCAAGUUCUCAGUACUCCUCAGUCCUAAUGCACCAGCUCUCAUGGACCCCAAAUAAGAGGUACACAUCUGCCUCAUUUCCUUGCACUGCCUGAUGAUAUUUGCACCCUCUGCCAAGCUGGUGAUGGCCACAGGACUGCAGCCUGGAGAGGGAAAGACUGAAAUACUGCUUUCACCAAGGCAUAUAUGACAGGUUUCAAAAACCAACCACAUAUUAAGAUGUCCACUUCUCAAAAGGACACAGACCAGCAAAGGCUGUAUAUUCUGGGACACAUCCUCCCAGUGGCUGCUUUGUGUUGCUGUAAUAAAGUCUGGACAAAAAGCUGCCAGAUCUACAUCUUGGGUGACUACUGUGUCAAAAGCAUUUUUUAAUGACACAGGUGGUGUGCUGAGUCUCCUCCCCACUUCCUUCACUGUUGCCACAUAAAGGUUAAACGUGGCUGGCACACUGCAAAGCCCCAUGGCUUUAUUCUGGUCUGUAAAAAAAACUUUGGAAAGAGGCUGUUUGGUGUCACAUGGCUGUUUUAAGAGGAGGAAAUGCACAUGCUGAUGUUUAGCGGCAAUCUGGGAAGAUUUACAUCUGUUGUGUUUGCAAGGCCAAGUGACUGCUAGAAAAUCUAGAAAUACAGGAAACAGACAAACUGAACCAGGGACAAAAGGAGUAAAUUAAAGCCAGCAAGUAAAUUCUAAGUGCAAGGAACUUCUAGUUAUGAGAUCUCCAUUAAGUUCUUCAGUGCAGCUGGCAGCCAUUUCUCUCUGCAGCUGAAGUUUCUGAAUGAUAACUUUUUGCGGAGUAUGUCAUAGGAAUGUAGAUUACAAAUUGCAAAUAUCUAGAUUGCAGCCACAAAGUGUAUAUCUGAACAGAAGGCAAAAUGCUUCUGGAAUUUGCUUUAAGUGGGAUGUCCAGAAGAAGCAAAGGAGGUAGUAAAACAAAUUGUGAACAGAAGUAAUGAGCAGCAUAGCAAGGGAAAAGAGAAGCAGCCUCAGCUUCUGGAUGUUUCUGUAGCUAGUCAUCUUGAUUUCCAGCUACCAGCUUGUCACCAUCGUCAUUCUUUCUUCAUUGGUUUGACUCAUUCCAGUGAAACACUGGAGAGCCCAACAAGUCAUCUUCCGUCAGAAACUAGACAAAACCAUCAGCGGUUUUCAGACAAAAGCGAGUACAGCACAUAUUGCCCUGUGGUGGCCUUGUCAACAUGACCUUUUCCAGCAGCCCCAAGCCAGCUCUGCCUGUGUUCCCCGAUGGCCAGGUGUGGUGUAGCUGUGGCCAAAAGCUGUGCACUCAGGUCAGUAUACCGGGAUAACACUUCUUUCACUGAUCGUUGUCACAUUUUGUCUAAACAAUGUGGUUACAUUUAAAAGCUUUUUCCCUCACUCUCUUGUCUACAUGUACUGAAUGGUUGGUUACCUCAGGGUGUUUUUUUUCUGUUCCUCCAUGCCCAUUUUGUUCCUGUCCCAAUUACUCCUAAUAUGAUGCCACCACUAAAACGAAGGCUCUACAUUCAAAUUCAAAUUAUGCAAGUUCAAACUUUCAUUUUUAAUCAGAUGCUGUUCAGAUGCCAUGCAACUACAGAUUUUACAGCACAAUUUGAGCGAGCUUUGCAAACAUUCUGUUAUAAGUGACCUAGGAUAAUUUGUGGUUUAAUAACAUAUUUGUGCAGUUUAUAUGUAUAAAAUAACAUGCAAGCUGGGAUUUGCAACGAGAAAAAUUGGGCAAGCCCAGGCUUGUAGAGAUUGCUUUUCAGAAGAACAAAGCCCUGGCUGGGUGUAGUUAAUGGCGAAGAACUACAGCCAUUAACCAGAAGAAAAGACCACGGAGCAACUCUUUCUGAGCAAGGAGGACACUUGAUUGCUCGGUCAUUAGGAGUUAUCUCAGCAACUGCAUGGAAGGAGACACACCUCUAUUCAUCAACUCAAACCCCAACAUUAGUAUUCAUCUGUCCCCAGAAGGUCUAUUCAGCAAAGGAAAGAACUGAAUGAAAAACUGAAAUGAUUCUUCAUCUUUCUGUGGAGAGUCCGUUUAACAGGUGAUUUUGCUGAAUAGAACAAAGAACGGGGGGACCACGGGCUUAAUAAAGUCUAUUUAAGGGGACCCCGAAAGGGUAAAAUUUGUGAAUAGGGAGAGGUCUCAGUGCGACUGAGUCUGUGCCCGUGGUUCAGCCAGUGCCGAUCCCGGGUUAUUGACAUUGCACUUUCGAUUGCUGGUUUGCCUAAAUUUUUGAUUUGUAAUUUCUUUAAUUAAUAAAAAUUAUUUUAUUCAUUUGGAAAUUGACUGGCCGUUUAUAACAAUUCCAAGCAAACAAACUUUGCAGGAAACACAGUCUUAUUAUUUUGCUAAUCUUUGGGACACUGCCUCACAGGGAUCAUCAAUUGAAACAAACCCUCUACUCAGUUCCUUCACAGAUUGAUGUUUGUACCAUUACACAGUAUUGCUAUUUUCCUAUUUUGACAACUGUUAGAGAAAUAGUUCAUACUAGUUACAGAAACUACCUAGUUUGAUGAUCUUAUGACUUGCUAUUACUCCUCAAAAAUGUAUUAUUUACUGAGUUUCUGAUCAUGUUUGCUCUCAAUACUUAUCAACCAGUCUUCAGUUAUUGCCUGUUUCUCAACAGAUCCUUUCUAAUGCCGUUUUUGGUAAUUUUCACCUUGCAGAACCUGUGCCAUCCUCCUUAACUUUAAUUCCAGAACCCAUUUCA